rnacentral:lncRNA from 10 species
ACUUAGUCCUGGUUGAUAUUUGUGUGGCUCCAAUGCUCAGAACCUGCCCCUUUCCUGUGGUUUCUCCACCAUUAGUUCUUUAUCUGGACUCCUCUUUUAAGUGGCUGAAUUUUGUUGUUGGGUGAUUUUUUCAAAAGGACUCAGGAGUGUUGCUUUUCCAUGGUUCUCUCCUGUGGAGAAUCUCUGCUACUGUGACAUCAGAAGGACAUGGUAUUGGAAGGCAAUAGAUUGGGAAGGUGCGUAACAUCCAGCCCCUGUGACCAGAGAGGACAGAUGUGCUGCCAGCUUCUUAGCCUGCUGGGUUGCAGGGGUCCAAAUGUAGCUGCAUUUAGGAGGAGGAGAAGGAGGACGUGCUUUGCUCUUCAAGAAUGUCCACACCUGUUUCCUCAUUCAGCCUCUCAGCAACUCUGUGGAGUUGUCAGGACUCA